rnacentral:rRNA from 1 species
AGUUUGAUCCUGGCUCAGAACGAACGCUGGCGGCAGGCUUAACACAUGCAAGUCGAACGCCCCGCAAGGGGAGUGGCAGACGGGUGAGUAACGCGUGGGAAUCUACCGUGCCCUGCGGAAUAGCUCCGGGAAACUGGAAUUAAUACCGCAUACGCCCUACGGGGGAAAGAUUUAUCGGGGUAUGAUGAGCCCGCGUUGGAUUAGCUAGUUGGCGGGGUAAAGGCCCACCAAGGCGACGAUCCGUAGCUGGUCUGAGAGGAUGAUCAGCCACACUGGAACUGAGACACGGUCCAGACUCCUACGGGAGGCAGCAGUGGGGAAUAUUGGACAAUGGGCGCAAGCCUGAUCCAGCCAUGCCGCGUGGGUGAAGAAGGCCUUCGGGUUGUAAAGCCCUUUUGUUGGGAAAGAAAAGCAGUCGGUUAAUACCCGAUUGUUCUGACGGUACCCAAAGAAUAAGCACCGGCUAACUUCGUGCCAGCAGCCGCGGUAA